rnacentral:rRNA from 1 species
UACGGGGGGGGUAAGCGUUGUUCGGAAUUACUGGGCGUAAAGGGCUCGUAGGCGGCCAACUAAGUCAGACGUGAAAUCCCUCAGCUUAACUGGGGAACUGCGUCUGAUACUGGAUGGCUUGGAUUUGGGAGAGGAAUGCGGAAUUCCAGGUGUAGCGGUGAAAUGCGUAGAUAUCUGGAGGAACACCGGUGGCUAAGGCGGCAUUCUGGACCAAUAUUGACGCUGAGGAGCGAAAGCCAGGGGAGCAAACGGG